AAAAUAAAAACUAACCAAACUGACUCGACCAAUAACAAAAGCAACUAAUUGACUCCAUCAUCUGAACGAGGGGCUCUGAUGGCUCGAUCAUCUAAUCGAACGGCUCUGAUGUCCCCAUCAACUCCUUGUAGGUGGAAAAAACUCGACCCCAUCGAGUGUAGGUCUACUGCAGAACAACCUACUCGUGCAACCUGUCGUGAAGCAAAUGACCAGAAUUGUUCGCUUGUGAGCUGGGGUGACGAUCAUGGGUGCAGUUGCAGUUGAUGGGCUCUCCAGUUGUCGUAGACAGGACUGGAUCCAGUACGGUGGGCCCGCGGGCCGUGGGCUUGAAGAGUAGAGAAGGGAGCCGGCGAGAGGCGUAGUGGCGGUGCGGGCCUGAUGGGUCGAUGAUUUGGGAAGGGAUGGAUGGGGGUGCGAGUGCGGACGGAAGGGGAAGACGAGGGAGGGGAAGGGGGUUGGGUGAGAUGCAGCCGAAAGAAGGAAAUAGAGGGAGAGGAGAUGAUGGGAAAGAGGGGAGGCGGAAGGGCAGUGGGCUCGUGAGAGGGGACCGAGGAACGGAGGGCUCGACGGCGGCCUGGUGAUGGGGUUCAGGGCGACGAGCGGUGGCAGUGGCGAAGGCAGAGCGAGGCGGAAGUGGCACGACACGGAGGCGACGCUGCGAUGCGGGGUGGCAGCGUCGGAGGAAGGAUUUCGGGCAGCGACGGCUCGGGCGCCGGAGGACGAAGGCGGCACGACGAGCGGACGUGGCAGCACAGGCGGCAAGGCUCGAGCGGCUAGGGCAGAGGCGGUGGUGCUGCAAGGCGGAGGUGGUGGUGGGCGCGGGCGCGGGCGCAGCGACGGGUGGCCAUAGGAACAGGGAAGAACCGGCGAAGGGGGUUUUCUCUCCUUUUUUUUUUUUUGUUUGUGCGAGAGCCGAGAGAGAGGGUGGGGGAAGGGGGUGGUGUAGGCGGCGAAGAUUCGAGACCCUUUUGGAGGGAAAGGAGGGGUUUGGGACGGAGAAAGGAAAGAUGGAGGGGUGCGGACGGGAGAGGAGGUGGGGCGGUGAGGUGGCCGGGAGGCGGGCCGAAGCGGGGGUGGCGGUGGAUUCUAGGCGGCAGACGUGGAAAAGAAAUCGAG
rnacentral:lncRNA from 1 species